GGGCUCAGAUUGAACGCUGGCGGAAUGCUUUACACAUGCAAGUCGAACGGCAGCACGGGGGCAACCCUGGUGGCGAGUGGCGAACGGGUGAGUAAUACAUCGGAACGUGCCCAGUCGUGGGGGAUAACGUAGCGAAAGCUACGCUAAUACCGCAUACGAUCUACGGAUGAAAGCGGGGGAUCGCAAGACCUCGCGCGAUUGGAGCGGCCGAUGGCAGAUUAGGUAGUUGGUGGGGUAAAGGCCCACCAAGCCGACGAUCUGUAGCUGGUCUGAGAGGACGACCAGCCACACUGGGACUGAGACACGGCCCAGACUCCUACGGGAGGCAGCAGUGGGGAAUUUUGGACAAUGGGCGCAAGCCUGAUCCAGCCAUUCCGCGUGCAGGAUGAAGGCCCUCGGGUUGUAAACUGCUUUUGUACGGAACGAAAAGGCUCUUUCUAAUACAAGGAGCUCAUGACGGUACCGUAAGAAUAAGCACCGGCUAACUACGUGCCAGCAGCCGCGGUAAUACGUAGGGUGCGAGCGUUAAUCGGAAUUACUGGGCGUAAAGCGUGCGCAGGCGGUGAUGUAAGACAGUUGUGAAAUCCCCGGGCUCAACCUGGGAACUGCAUCUGUGACUGCAUCGCUGGAGUGCGGCAGAGGGGGAUGGAAUUCCGCGUGUAGCAGUGAAAUGCGUAGAUAUGCGGAGGAACACCGAUGGCGAAGGCAAUCCCCUGGGCCUGCACUGACGCUCAUGCACGAAAGCGUGGGGAGCAAACAGGAUUAGAUACCCUGGUAGUCCACGCCCUAAACGAUGUCAACUGGUUGUUGGGUCUUCACUGACUCAGUAACGAAGCUAACGCGUGAAGUUGACCGCCUGGGGAGUACGGCCCGCAGGUUGAAACU
rnacentral:rRNA from 1 species